rnacentral:rRNA from 1 species
CUGGUUGAUCCUGCCAGUAGUCAUAUGCUUGUCUCANAGACUAAGCCAUGCAUGUCUAAGUAUAAGCAGAUUAUACUGCGAGACUGCGGACGGCUCAUUAAAACAGUCACAAUCUAUUCGAUGAUUUCUUACUACUCGGAUAACCGUAGUAAUUCUACAGCUAAUACGUGCACAAACACCAGGCUCGCUCUGGUGGUAUUUAUUAGAUCAAACGCCAAUAGACUUACGUCUUUCGGUGAAUCAUAGUAACUUCUCGGAUCGGUCUCAGACCGACAAUCGUUCGAAUUUCUGCCCUAUCAGCUUUCGAUGGUAGGAUAGGGAGGCCUACCAUGGCUUUAACGGGUGGCGGAGAAUUAGGGUUCGAUUCCGGAGAGGGAGCCUGAGAAAACGGCUACCACAUCCAAGGAAGGCAGCAGGCGCGCAAAUUUACCCAAUCCCGACUCGGGGAGGUAGUGACAAAGAAAUAACAAUAGCCCGGUU